UUGCGUAGCAGGGUUAGGUGGGUUUCCGUGCUAAGCACAGCAAUUGCGCACGGUCCCUUACGUAACUGUCAGCUGGGGAUUCCCUAGAGGGGGUCACUGUAUUCAACCAUUACACAGACCCCUGCCGCCGUUCCAACGCGCCUGGGCUGCCGUUGCCGCAGCUACUGAGGCUGCGGCUGCAGCUACAACGGCGUCUCCUCACAAAAUGGCGGCGCCCAUGGAAGCGGCAGCAGCCCCAUUUUGUGCCCACAGAGCUGUCAACAAAACACGGGACUUGGCCGGGGCAGAGACGCAGAAGGCGGCGGCGGCGAAGCGACGUUACGGGUAGCGAGGGACUUCACCAGCCCCCCGCCCCCGAGAAGAGACUUUCUAUAAAGCGUGCGCGCAUUGCGCGGGGGAGGCGAGCAGCGGGCGAAGCGGCGAUUUGAGCGCUGGGACCAGCCGGCAGCGAGAGCUCUGCGGGGACCUUCCGGAGCUGCGGCUCCGUGGUCUGGGAGAUGGUCCUGCCGGUGCGAUCCGGGAUGCUCGACAGCAAGGCGCUGCCCUGAUCUCGCCGGCGGGGCCGGGGAGGUUCCCCGUGGGGGAUAGGUCUCGGGCACUGGGUGUGCACUGCGAGCGGCAGUGGGGAUGGGAGCGCAUUUGCUGUCUCCUCCUGGAGACCUUGUUCCGGGCUCGCUCCUUGCUCUUAAACCUCUCUACUCUUGAGCUGGUGGUUGGCAGCCCAGUUUAUGUAACUUUAUUGCUGUAGGAAUCUAGCAAACCUGCAAGGAGCUGCAGGAAGAUCUGGGUUCUUAGUUUAGUUAAUUAGGUCAAUUUCAGCACUUAAUUACUGUUUGCUUCUUUUUAGUGCGUGCCUUUGGAAUCGGCCUAUUAAGUUGAUGCUUCAGUUUACAUUAGCUAACAGCAAGCUCCUUACCUUACCUCAAAGGCUGCAUGGAGGGGAGGGGGAAGAGAAGAGCAAAGGGCCCAGAACUGCAGCUGGGAGUUCCUGGGCUUUCACUCCUCACUCCUAGUGAACGAAAAGGCAAGUCAGGCAGCAUUUCAAGCCUUCCCCACAGUCAUUGCAGUGAGAGGAAGAGGAGGAACUGUUAUGCUUUUCUGUCUCAAGGGGAUUUUGGUCUGUUUUUCCCUGACCCUUUCUUUCUUUCUUUCUUUCUAUUUAUUUAUUUAUUCCUCUUCUGUCAUGGGGUGUACUCACCCUUCACUGAACAAAGAAGGGGCUAAGGAAGCCAUGUUCCCUCGCCCCUGCUGGGCAUGCUCUAACUGGAGAAGCACUAUAAAAGGAAGCAGCUCAGCUCAGUCAGGCCUGACCAUUGAGAAGGGAGGACACACAUUACCAGCUCCAGCCUGGGACCUGCUGAAGCCCCAGAUUGUGGAAGCCAAACCUGCGAGAUCUGGGCUGUUACCCAGCUACCUGAAGACACCCAAGGGAGGGCAGAGCUACUGAGAGCAGCAUAGGCUGAGGAACUUGUAGACCCUGGAGUGGCCAAGACCGGUGCUUAAGGAGACAGAGUAGGAGGUAGCCAAGGGGGACUAUACAUUGAUAUGGUUGCAGAACCAAAA